GGGCACAUAUUGUCUAAUAUGCUAUUAUUCAUCUGUGCUAAGGAUUAUUUCUCUCUCUCUUUCAUUGGAGCUCUCACUUUGAUCUCUCCUGCAGGCCCAUACGCACACACAUGCACUCAGUUACUGAGAACAGCAGAACAGAUGCAGGCCUAAAAGAGUGCUUAUUUAUUAAAGUUCCCUAGUCUUCUUCCACCUUACUUAUACAACCUGCCUGACAGGUACUCAUGAUUCAUUUAGUGUGUUCAUCGUUACAAAAAACAUUCCUCCUCCUUGUUAUUUAUUAUAUAAAAAUACAAUCUCAGCCUGAAGAUAAUUGCUAUCGAACAAAUGUACUUUUUUCUGUUUUGGAUAAGAAAAUUUGGUAACUACUUGUUCAGAUAAAUGCCCCCCACGGAAUUAGAUUUGUGAACAUGACAACAAAACAGCAAAAGUUUGGUACAACCUUUAGUGCUAUCAGUACAAAAGUAGAGGGGGAGAGGAAUACCAUGAAAUCAACAAGGAAUAACUGGCAAACCUGACUUUUUGAGAAACAACAACUUGGAAGCAGUCUCAGAUAUGAUCAGAACGUAUCUCUUCAUAGCACUCUGAAGCUGUUAAGAUAUUGUCAAUUCAAUUUGAAAUCUAUACACUAGUUUGUACCUCAGUAGAAUCAGGUGGUUUUUCGCUCGGACAAAACUAGUGUCUACCGUACUGCUAGAGAUCUAAAUCGAAGGCAGAACUGGCAAAGGCAGCAGGACAGAUUCUCCCCCUCUCCAUAAUAUUUAACAGAAGUUUUCAUUAGCAUUAUUCAUUCAACUGCUGUGUGAUUUGCUGCUUUCUAUUGCAUAACCUCGGAACAUUAUGUUACGUUCGGUCAGAGGCCUGCAAAACCUAAUGAGCAAGCCUCGAUUCCCGGAUUAGUUGUUUGGCCACAUGCCACAUACCCUGAUAUUGCCACAGAGAAGGAAACGGGAGGCAUUCAGAGCGAAGACCUUGAAGCCAAGGUUCAUGCUUGGUUAACAGUAGAUCAGCACCCACUUAGAUGACUAAAGCCACUUCUGAGGUGGUGGUUAGUAUCCGAGGAGCAGUUGGGGGGGGGGAGUGCCUUACCUUUUCCCUGCACAUGGCUGCUCUUCUCCAAUGUCCAGUAUAGAGUUGUUGUUGUGUGGGUUUGUUUUUUUUUAAACCCACAUUUCCCAACUUUUAAUAUUCCAUUGGGAGAAAAAGCACUUGGGAAGGCAAUCUGGAGUGGUUUGGGAGAGGGCAUUCUCUGUGACAGUCCCUAGGGUGUGUAGUUCCCUCCUCACAGAGGUGUGUAUGAUGAUUUCCUUGCAUAGCUUUCAUUGUUUGCUGAAGACUGGCCUCUUUACCCUGGCCUUUGACACCCGAUACCCUUUUAAGGCCUGUGCUCAUGUAAAUUGUCUUAACUGACUUUAAUACUGUAUUUUUAUAUUGUUGUAACCUGUCCUGGGACCUUAUGAUGAAGGGCAGGUAAGGAAAGCAAGAGAGAAGGAAGGAAGAGAGAAGGGCAGGAGUGGGAAAAUGGAGAGGGGUGGUGGUGAAACGGAUGGAUCAAAGCAGGAGGAAAUAAAAGUCAUCUGCAAGUGAUCAGUUGAGACCUGGCAAGAGCAUUCUGUCCCAUUCCCAGCAACCUUCUUGGGACAGGGCAAGGGGAAGAGAAGGAGAAUGGGGUGCACUCCACCCACUUUUGACUCUGGAACCACCACACUUACUUUAGCCCCCUGCCCCAGCAGAUGACACCCGAGACAGGAAAGAGGUUCCACACCACUGAGAUGAAGGGUUGGGGUGGGGAUUCUCAGAUUAAAAACAGGCAUUAAACAGCAAGCAGUCCUAUCAUAUUACUUCUUCAACAUCAGCACAGAAGUUAGCUAAUUUGUUUUCAGUGUCAAUUCCACCAUGCUUCUUGCACAUGAAAGAAGCUAAACUAAACUUUGAAUAUGAAUUUUUAUAGUGGGGUUUCACCCAGACUGUUUCUUUUCAGCAAUUACGUUUGGUAAGGUCCUUUGCCUGGGAGGUGAAAUGUGUUAUAUUUUUAGAAAUAAAUAUGUGAUGUCUACAAAACAACGAUGCAUCACCAUUUCCAAGAAACUUGCAUAAGAUUUCCUUACUAUUUAAGGAAUCUAGAACAUUGUUUUGCUUUCAAGGAACUGAAGCUGCCUUGGUUCUAAAAUAACUUACCAUCAUCCCCCCCCCCCCACCACAGGGGGAUAUAUCUGAGGAAGACUGUGGAAACAAUAUGUGGAAUUACAAAUCUGCAUGGAUAUGGCAGGAAAUCAAUGAAGGCUGGAAAUAGAUCCCUGCACAUUCAGUUUUGUGGAUUUUCCCUGCAUCACCUAUGUAAAUUUUGGAACUUUCCCCCCCCACAGUGUAAGAUGUCUGCUAAAUCUUACUGAUUACAGUUUUUGGCAACUGUUAACUUUAGUGGAAUAAUGUAGUGAGUGUGCAAUAUUGCCAGCAAGUUUUUUUUUAUAUGUCAGGCAAAUUACCCUCAUUUCCCCCCCACCAUGAGAAAGUUAAACACCUGCUUGCUGAAAGUUAACAAAUGGGGGUAGUCAUUCAUUAUUGCCUGGGGUAAGGGGCAGUAUGUGGGUUUUACUAAGGGGACCCUUUUCAUAUAACUCUGCAACUUAGUAUGAAACAAGUGCAUACAUUUUUAGACUGUGAGUAGACUUAAGUUAUUCAUGAAUGAAACAGCCUGAUUCAGGUCAUGAGAGGCCAACUGUAUGCAUUCCAGAUGUAGCUGGCUUCAGAGGGACCAUUUUUGUGCAUGAAAUGAAUGUGCAUGUUUAAAUCUUCACACAACUAAGCUGCUAUUACAGCCACUCCAACUUAAGUAUGACACUGGAGAAUGUUGUGAAUGGAAGAUAUAAUAAACUGUGGUGACAAGAUAAAAAUAUUCUGCAGUACUAACACUACAUGGUAAUUUCAAGAAUCUUUCUUCUUGCAUGUCUGAAGAACUGAACAAAUACAAAUGCAAUAUGUUGUUAGAGCUGUGGAGGUAGGUACCAUAUUUGUGAUGGGAUGCAACAUCAUUUCAGCCUGAAGAAGUGAUAACCUUGAGUGAGGCCCUGUUCCAUGACCACUCAACAAUUUUCUCUAUUACAAAUCCAUUUUUGUCCAAGAACAGUGACUUUGAAAGAGCCUGCUCCUUUUCAUUAAUGCCUUGGCACAUCACACCUUCCUUGAAGGCUGAGAAGCAGUUUGACUUGCUUCAGAUCCCUUUUCUUUCUUUUUUAAACAGUACCAAGGUGUCUCUUGCACCACUAAUGGUGCUCUCAUUCCUCUCUGGACAGACGGGCUCUCUGUGUCUAGAAUCUGCAAGGAAUAAUUACAUUUGGGGGAAAUGUCCUCUGUCCUGAUUUUGAAGGAGUGUGAUAACAUGCUUUAUUAUUACUGUCUAUGGGCACAGUUCAUAGCAAUGCACUCUCUCGUGAUGGGUAAUAUGGUGACAGUGGGAAUGAUGGAGUAAUGCCACCUGCUUUACCAUAAAGAAUUGCCUACUUAUUAGAAUCAAGAAGAGGCCCAUAACUUUAAACAAAUUAUUUGAACUGACUAGAAAUAAUUAAAUACAUGCUUGAGAAGGGGGUGUGGUGUUUUGGGUUUGAAGGAAGCCGGUGGAGAUUGGUAAAAUAUUUGGUUUGUUUGUCCAUUAGUAUGAGAGUUCACCUUGCACGGAAGAACUUUUUAAAAAAUGAGUUAUUUAUAUAACAGCUUGUAAUUUAAUAAGCUCAUUAUUCAUUAGCAGCUCUGUGAUGUAGGCAUUUCUUCUACAUAGCUAAUCAAGAAUUGAGGUUGCAAUGUGAAAAAAUCUGAAUACAAUUUGCAGUUCUUUUAAAGCAAUAAUUAUAUAUUAGAGCUGCUACAUUUUGUUUCUUAGUUGGUGCUAAAAAAAAUCCCUUUGUUGUAGGAAUUUUGAUCAGAAUUUUUAAAAAAUGGUAUUUUGGAAUGUAGCUAGCUCACUGUAUGAUAAUUCGGAUAUACUUCAUUGUACUAAAUUCCAUUUUCACUUCAAACGAAGGGUCAAAAAGUCAGUGGAAAUGUUCAAGGACUCUAGAGUAAGGAUAUCUCACCCUACAGUUAGAGCCAAUAAAUGGUUCAGUUAAUCUUUUCGCCUCUUUUUCUGAACUACUUAGAAACAAAUUGAUUCUUGGCGGAUAGGAGGGCACAAGUAGCGCUUCAGGAAGAACAUAGUGCUUCUCUUUUUGUAGAGUAUACUGGCAGUGAAUGGGUUUUCUUGCUUGUUCUGCAGGGAGACCGCAUUUUGAUUUAAAGUUAUGAGUCACAGUAUCUGAGGCUUGGAGGCGAACACACUAUCUGUAAACAGCAGCCAAAGGGCACACACUUCUGCUUUUGCAAUUGGCAAAGUCUCCUCCUUACUGCUUU